rnacentral:rRNA from 1 species
UACGUAGGGGGCAAGCGUUAUCCGGAUUUACUGGGUGUAAAGGGAGCGUAGACGGCGAUGCAAGUCUGGAGUGAAAGCCCGGGGCCCAACCCCGGGACUGCUUUGGAAACUGUGUAGCUGGAGUACAGGAGGGGCAGGCGGAAUUCCUGGUGUAGCGGUGAAAUGCGUAGAUAUCAGGAGGAACACCGGCGGCGAAGGCGGCCUGCUGGACUGAAACUGACGUUGAGGCUCGAAAGCGUGGGGAGCAAACAGG